CCUUUCUUGUUUAUUUUAUUUUGUCAUACAAUGUAUAGGACUACAUAUUCGUAAGGUACAAAAGUAUUCGCUUAGGUAAGACUAUGAGGCUAUUUUAAGGGAUUAAGAAUUUAGAAAAAAAAUCCAAUUUGAGUCUAGGAAACUUUUCUUGAAGUACCGAGGCUUAGGAAAAGCCCGGAAAAUUUUUCCAAAAAGAUUUGGUGAAGUGUCGGGGAAAUAAGGAUGUUUGGAGUAGUAUUUUCGAAGUAGGCUUGAGAGAAAUUAAGAGAAAAAGAAAAUGGGAGGAGCAGCCAAGCCCACUUGGCCCAAAAGGAAUGGCAAAUUAGACUUUUCACACUAAUUAGAGGGGGAAGUAUUUAAGCCUCACAACACCAAACCCUGGCCUCCAAACCUCAUUUUCCUCACUUCACUCUCUCUCUUCAGCUCUCCCUCUCUCUCAUCCUACCCUCUCUCUCUCUCCUUGCGUCGCUGCCGCCGCCGAUACUCCAAUCAACACCAAAAUUUUCAGAUUUUCUCCUCUUUAUUCCCUCUAUCCAUUUCUCAAACCAAAAUCGUGAAAUUUAGCCAUUCAAUCGUCCAAGAACCCUAGAACCCAAAAUCAAUUUGGGGGUUUUUGUGAUUUCUUCAUUCUAAGUUCAAAUCAAGGCUACGGGUUUGGCAAUGAUUUGUGGUGAAGAAACCUAAGGAGGAGGAGAGGCCAUGAGUUUUUGGAGAAGAAAGGGUAAGGAUUGGGUUUUGGACAAACCCUUGAAUUUUUGGAGUUUGUUUUUUUGUUGAUUUUGAAUUUUAUUCAGCUAAUUUGUUGGUGGAAAAUUGUGAAAGUGGGAUCUUUAAUGAGGAUUUAUUAGUUUAGUUUUCAAAUGUGUUGGUAAAUUGUGUUGAAGAUUUUGGUGAUUUUUGUUUUGUAAUUUUGACCAAAAGAAAAAGAAAGGGAAGAAGAAAAGAAAAGACUUUAUUUUGGAAGAAAAAAAUAAAGGAAUGAGUAAAAGUUGAAUUAAAGAGGUUUUACCGUGGUAAAGUGGUAAAAAGUGAAAAGGGUGAGAGUAAAGUUUGUGAAAGGAGGUAAAAGGUAAAAGUGAAAGAGAAAAGGUAAAAACUAUAGUAAAAGUAAA